UUUUACAGUAUUUUAGUGUUGCUGUAUCCUUGCUGUAGCCUGACUGUAAUACACCAGGCAAUAAAUCAGGAUUGCUGUAAAUAGCGCGCCACCUGAUGUCACAUCACAGACAACACAGCUGCUGCUGACCGGAGAGAGAAGCAGAACGGAGGAUUUAUACAAGUUCGCUCUACAGUAUGGUCCACUUGUGUUUGCUCCUGGGAAAGGCACUGCUGUCACAAGACAGUUUUUUUUUUCACCACUGAUGGGAAGAAAUGUACUAGUAGACAGGGAGUGAGCAGAAGAUCAGGACGGUGGUGCAGAGUGAUGGCCAUCAGUCCUGCAUGUCAACCACUUCAUUCAGUCCAAAAUGAUGUUUAAAUGGAGGACUUCACAGAGAUGGUCAGUGGCCUCUUUGCCACCACCCACAUGCCCUACAUUUAGGGGUGACAUUACAUGUUGUGAGACACUACUUGUUGUUUUUGCUCAUUUUUAACAUAGCUUUAAUAUAAAUCAAGUUCUCUCUUAGGACAGUGAUUCCCAAUCCAGUUCUCAAGAUGCAUGUGUUUGUUUCAUUUAUAUUCUUGCACACUUAAAAUGCUUUAAUGGCUGUAAAUUGUCAAUGCACUGUACUCUGGGUAGCAAACACAGUACUGAAAUAUUUUGAAAUGUUUUAAUAAAAAUACAUAUGUAAAUAUGUUUGGAUUACCUUUUGAUUUGUAAUGUUAUUCUGAAGUAUAGUAGUAUCACAAUUUUACUAACUAUAUGUAUGUAUUAUACCAACU